AAAAUGAACGUGGAAUUAGCAUCAGUGGAAAGAAAAAGAAAAGAAAAAAAUUAGCAGAACAGAUGAAAGUUGGUGAUAACGCCAGGAAUUGAAAUAUUGUCCUGGAUCUUGGAUAUGGUUGGAAGCGUGAAAAUAUUAUGAUGAGUUUAUGAACUAAGUAUCAAGGAUUAGGAUUAUUUAGAUGAUACGAGUCUUUGAAGACUUAAAAAUUCCAAUUUUGCUGUUUUUAAUGAACUCUAUUUUGUCUCUGCUUCAGAAUUCUUUUCUUCAACCUUCUCUUUCUUUUUCUUUUUCUUUUUUUGCAAUAUCGAAAGCUCUGUUUUUCCGAUUACUCUUCUAAUUUUCAGAAAAAUAUAAUUCUUGCAAUUAGAGAGCUCAUGAGACAACGAAUAAAGAAGUAAAGAGCAGAGAAUCGCGAGAGCACUGUAGUGGAAUAUACAAAAAAACGUUGUUGAAGAGGACAUUUUUAAUUGCAAAUCUCUCUCAGUUCUCAAGUAGAAGUACACGAUGAUACAACGUGUAAAGUUACUUUGCUACGUUGUUGAUAGGUCGAUGAACUUAAGACGAGAAUAACCAUCCUUCCAAGCAGAUCUUGCAGCUAACCUUGAGGUGUCUGAGUGUCUUCUUCCGAGGACCAAUCUCUUCAAAUUUUUAACAGCCGUUUCAAACGAUCUUCUUAAAAUUUGUUCGAACCCGAAGCUAAUUGAGGGACAUAGUACAAGCAGCCGUUUGUUCGCACACAAAGAAGAGAAAAAUACAGGGACCGAUAUACGACGUCUGUGUUCAUUUAGAAGACUUCGUAAUGACUUUCCAGACGUUUAUGUUCAGCAGCAUAUUAUUCCAUUGGAGUUCGAUUUUACUCGCAGUCUUCUCGACUGAACAUGUCCGUUGUAAAUGGCACGAAACAGUUGGAAAGCUAAUUCUUCUUGCAAAACUGAAGCUGAAGGAUGGUGAUCCUGAUGACAAUUGAUGGAGGAUGAAACGUUAAAGUAACUAUUUAUCCGCGAGUAUUUUUACCGAAGAUUGAGCCAAAGGAAUCGCUUGUUAACCGGUUACCGCGUAAGGAGGAUCGUUAUUAACGGUGCAGCUGAACCAAUUACUUUUGAGCAACGUGCACAGCGUUAAAUGGAGAUCGACACGGUCCUCUCUGAUCGUUGCGGUACGUCGUUAACGUUUGCACCAACGAUUACUCGCAGCAAGGUCAAUAGCACGACGAGCGGAACGUGUUUAUGCGUUCCUGAGACUCUCUCCGCUCAGAAACCGUGAAGAAGAAAGUUUCGUGGUCCGAAUGUUCUAUCAAUCCAUCGUUCGAUGUUUCUGUUAUCGUUAUCGAAUUCUUCGGUUCCUAUCAAGUCUAUGCAACAACGAUUCUUAGUCUCCGAAAACAGUUUUCUUUCUAAAGUAUCUUUAAAUUAACUCUGAACUAUUACCGUGAAGUGCUAGAAGUCCUAGAGUACUGUAGAAUCACCAGUAUUGUCAUAAUCUUGCUGUGAAAUGAAAUACGACUCUAAAUAUCUCUGUAAUCUUCGAUUAAGCGUUGUAUAGUCAUUGUAAUUUGUAAGUUCAGAUAUAAAUCUUUCUAAA